GUAAUGCCUAGGAAUCUGCCUAGUGGUGGGGGAUAACGUUCGGAAACGGACGCUAAUACCGCAUACGUCCUACGGGAGAAAGCGGGGGACCUUCGGGCCUCGCGCCAUUAGAUGAGCCUAGGUCGGAUUAGCUAGUUGGUGAGGUAAUGGCUCACCAAGGCUACGAUCCGUAACUGGUCUGAGAGGAUGAUCAGUCACACUGGAACUGAGACACGGUCCAGACUCCUACGGGAGGCAGCAGUGGGGAAUAUUGGACAAUGGGCGAAAGCCUGAUCCAGCCAUGCCGCGUGUGUGAAGAAGGCCUUCGGGUUGUAAAGCACUUUAAGCGAGGAGGAAGGUUCGUUACUUAAUACGUAACGGAAUUGACGUUACUCGCAGAAUAAGCACCGGCUAACUCUGUGCCAGCAGCCGCGGUAAUACAGAGGGUGCAUGCGUUAAUCGGAAUUACUGGGCGUAAAGCGCGCGUAGGCGGUUGUGUAAGUUGGAGGUGAAAUCCCCGGGCUCAACCUGGGCAUUGCCUUCAAAACUGCACGGCUAGAGUAUGGGAGAGGAAGGUAGAAUUCCAGGUGUAGCGGUGAAAUGCGUAGAGAUCUGGAGGAAUACCGAUGGCGAAGGCAGCCUUCUGGCCUAAUACUGACGCUGAGGUGCGAAAGCAUGGGGAGCAAACAGGAUUAGAUACCCUGGUAGUCCAUGCCGUAAACGAUGUCAACUAGGUGUUGGGGAACUUGAUUCCUUAGUGCCGCAGCUAACGCAUUAAGUUGACCGCCUGGGGAGUACGGUCGCAAGACUAAAACUCAAAUGAAUUGACGGGGGCCCGCACAAGCGGUGGAGCAUGUGGUUUAAUUCGAUGCAACGCGAAGAACCUUACCUACUCUUGACAUCCAGAGAAUCCUGUAGAGAUACGGGAGUGCCUUCGGAAUUCUGAGACAGGUGCUGCAUGGCUGUCGUCAGCUCGUGUCGUGAGAUGUUGGGUUAAGUCCCGCACGAGCGC
rnacentral:rRNA from 1 species